rnacentral:lncRNA from 1 species
CUUUUUUAAGUUUGACAUGUCCCUAAAACAGAGGGUACAACAAAACGUAGUUUAGUCAUAUGGUAAUCUAUAGACUUACAUUGUAGAACAUUCGAGUUCGAUAGACAUGUAUUGAUUUAAUUUAAACAUGAAAGCUACAGGUUUCAUGUGGUGAGUUUUAAAUGAAAACUUCGAGUUUCAAAGGCACUAAAUGUGAAACUACAUAUUCAAUUUAGUUUUAUGAAUGAUUAGUUCAUAAAGGAGAGGUUCCUGCAAUAACACAGAAUGCGAUAUGCUGAUUUUAAGUGUAGUGGAUUUGAAUUGCUUCGGGAACUCAAGUGUGAGAGCUUCAGGACUAUGAAAAAAUAUCAACGGUUCAAAGUAGAAAAAUAAAUUAUUGAAUCGUUAAUGUCCAAAACUAAUAUUCAGGUCAAUACUUUUAGAUUAAUUGUCAGAUUAAUGGACUGCAAAUCACUUUUAAUUAAUUCAAUAGAUCGAGAGCAAACGGGGUCGAUUAUGGAAGCAAAAUAAUGAUAGACAGGUCAUAUUAGCUUUGGUUGGUGGUAAACCAAGUGAUAAUUAUAUUAAAAUUAAUUAGCAUAAACCAAAAUACCCAAAA